UGUUUCCUGACUGUAAAACGACCCCCGGAUAAACCCGAUUCCCGAGCGUAACACGUGCCAGUCUAGAAAAAACCUCCUCGAAAGCUUGCUUUUGAUGGGCAUCAACCGGCGCACGGGUGAGUAACGCGUAUCCAACCUGCCCACCACUUGGGGAUAACCUUGCGAAAGCAAGACUAAUACCCAAUGACGUCUCUAGAGGACAUCUGAAAGAGAUUAAAGAUUUAUCGGUGAUGGAUGGGGAUGCGUCUGAUUAGCUUGUUGGCGGGGUAACGGCCCACCAAGGCUACGAUCAGUAGGGGUUCUAAGAGGAAGGUCCCCCACAUUGGAACUGAGACACGGUCCAAACUCCUACGGGAGGCAGCAGUGAGGAAUAUUGGUCAAUGGACGAGAGUCUGAACCAGCCAAGUAGCGUGCAGGAUGACGGCCCUAUGGGUUGUAAACUGCUUUUAUAAGGGAAUAAAGUGAGUCUCGUGAGACUUUUUGCAUGUACCUUAUGAAUAAGGACCGGCUAAUUCCGUGCCAGCAGCCGCGGUAAUACGGAAGGUCCGGGCGUUAUCCGGAUUUAUUGGGUUUAAAGGGAGCGUAGGCCGGAGAUUAAGCGUGUUGUGAAAUGUAGAUGCUCAACAUCUGCACUGCAGCGCGAACUGGUUUCCUUGAGUACGCACAAAGUGGGCGGAAUUCGUGGUGUAGCGGUGAAAUGCUUAGAUAUCACGAAGAACUCCGAUUGCGGAGGCAGCUCACUGGAGCGCAACUGACGCUGAAGCUAGAAAGUGCGGGUAUCGAACAGGAUUAAAUACCGUGGUACUCCG
rnacentral:rRNA from 1 species